GACGAACGCUGGCGGCGCGCUUAACACAUGCAAGUCGAGCGAAGCGGCGGACGGGUGAGUAACACGUGAGUAACCUGCCUUAGACAUUGGGAUAGCAUCGGGAAACCGGGAAUAAUACCAAAUGGUCUAAGAUGGACUCGCGUCCAAUUAGCCAGUUGACGAGGUAACGGCCCCCCAAGGCGACGAUGGGUAGCCGGGCACAGAGGGUGAACGGCCACAUUGGAACUGAGAAACGGUCCAAACUAUACAGUAGGCAACAGUGGGGAAUAUUGCACAAUGGAGGGAACUCUGAUGCAGCGACGCCGCGUGAACGAAGAAGGCUGUCGAGUCGUAAAGUUCUUUUAUAUGGGAAGCGGUACCAUAAGAAAAAGCCCCGGCUAACUACGUGCCAGCAGCCGCGGUAAUUC
rnacentral:rRNA from 1 species